AAUUCUUUGUUCCAUUGUAGCUUUUCAGAUCAGUUUGUGAUGAAGAUGGAGGUGGAGGUGGGGAAAUGUGGGGAAACUAAGUAAAACAGUGAAGCCCUGGCAGAUGGUGCUCAGUGUUUGGCUCCUGCUGGGCUCAGCAGGGCCUACAGCUUAGAGGGUUCAGACCAUCAAAAGGACUUCUGCUAUUGGGGGAAUGGCUAUGUCGACAAUCCGUCUGCCACAUAUCAUUUUCUUAGCUUUUCUUCAUUUGUAUUAAAUACAACUUGCGAUCUGUUUCUGUAGCCUGCACACAGGUCUGCACUGCAAAGAGUUUACUGACUGCUGCAAGAUGGAAUGGAUGGAGCUGGAGAUGUUACACAGAUAAACAUCAGUGACAUUGUGAACACCGAUUUCUGAAAACAGCCGUGGAAUGAACAAUGAGGGUGCUCCAGGAUCCUGAAGCCUUUACUCAACAAUCUCCAUUAUCUGCUGGAUAUGCAUGGUGCUAUAUGGGAAUGGCCAGAACUUCAGGCAUAUGUAAAAGUGGAAGUCCACUG